rnacentral:rRNA from 1 species
GUGGGGAAUAUUGGACAAUGGGCGAAAGCCUGAUCCAGCCAUGCCGCGUGUGUGAAGAAGGUCUUCGGAUUGUAAAGCACUUUAAGUUGGGAGGAAGGGCAUUAACCUAAUACGUUAGUGUUUUGACGUUACCGACAGAAUAAGCACCGGCUAACUGCGUGCCAGCAGCCGCGGUAAUACGAAGGGUGCAAGCGUUAAUCGGAAUUACUGGGCGUAAAGCGCGCGUAGGUGGUUCAGUAAGUUGGAAGUGAAAUCCCCGGGCUCAACCUGGGAACUGCUUUCAAAACUGCUGAGCUAGAGUACGGUAGAGGGUGGUGGAAUUUCCUGUGUAGCGGUGAAAUGCGUAGAUAUAGGAAGGAACACCAGUGGCGAAGGCGACCACCUGGACUGAUACUGACACUGAGGUGCGAAAGCGUGGGGAGCAAACAGGAUUAGAAACCCGGGUAGUCC